rnacentral:lncRNA from 1 species
AUGAAAAGUUUCCUUCUCUGCGGCAGAACUGUGGGUGUGGCCACCCCGGUGUUUCUCCACCGAGCCGGGUGCUUUUCAGGCCCGGGGCCAGAGCACCCAACUGUCUCUUUCCGGUUGUUGGUGUUACCUGCCACAGGGUGCCAGGCCAUGCCAACCUGGUCUGCAUUUCUUGAUGCAACGUGGGAUGCAGGUAUGAUGCCUGGAACUCAUGCAGCUCCCCUGCAACCGUGAGGCUGAGGCUAAGAGAGGAGGAGACACUGCAGCUCUAAGAGUGAAAGGCAACCCCGGCAGCCUCCUGCCUCCAGGCUUCUGAUCAUGGGGAAAAACAGUGUCCUGUUUGUUCCAGCCUCUGGUAGGUUAUAGUUACUCUAUGUCAUGCUCUCUAGUGCAUGUUAGAACAACGGCACUGGUGAUGUGGUGUGGUGAUGGAAGGCCUGACUGAGCGAGAAGACAAAAACCUUUCUUUGGAGCAUGUGUUAGGGACCAGGCCCUGGACUUUCACACACUUUCUGAGUGUUCCCAGUGGUAGCAGAGACGUUGGUGCCAUUGUGACCAUUUGUAGUGGAGAGAGCUGAGGUCGGGUCAUUGUUCAAGCAGCCGGUUUAGUGAGAAGGACUGCUUUGUGAAGUGCUGGGGUCACGUGUCCAGUGGGGUUUCUCUGUCUCCAGAGCCUCGAUCUCUUACGAGGUUUUGUUUUCUCGCCCCCUAUUGCUUGUCGAGAGUGGACACUGGGGGCAGGCGCUGUGGUGCAGCAGGGAAAGCUGCCGCCUGCAGCGCUGGCAUCCCAUGUGGGUGCUGGGUUCAAGUCCCGACUGCUCCUCUUCUGAUCUGGCUCUUUGUUAUUGCACCUAGGAAAGCAGUGGAGGAUGGCCCAAGGCCUUGGGUCCCUGCACCCAUGCGGGAGUCCCAGAUGAAGCUCCUGGCUCCUGGCUUAGGCCUGGCCCAGCCCUAGUCAUUGCACCUAUUUGGGGAGUGAACCAGUGGAUGGAAGGUCUCUGUGUCUCCUUUUCCCUCUAACUCUACCUUUCAAAUAAAUAAAUCUUAAAAAAAGAAAGUAGCUGUUGG